rnacentral:rRNA from 1 species
GUGGGGAAUAUUCCGCAAUGGACGAAAGUCUGACGGAGCAACGCCGCGUGAGUGAUGAAGGUUUUCGGACUGUAAAGCUCUGUUGUUUGGGACGAAAGUGCCUGUUGCGAACAGUUACGGGUAUUGACGGUACUAAACGAGGAAGCCACGGCUAACUACGUGCCAGCAGCCGCGGUAAUACGUAGGUGGCAAGCGUUGUCCGGCAUUAUUGGGCGUAAAGAGCAUGUAGGCGGGAAUCUAAGUCUGUUGUGAAAAUGCGGGGCUCAACCCCGUAUUGCGAUGGAAACUGGGUUUCUUGAGUGCAGGAGAGGAAAGGGGAAUUCCCAGUGUAGCGGUGAAAUGCGUAGAUAUUGGGAGGAACACCAGUGGCGAAGGCGCCUUUCUGGACUGUGUCUGACGCUGAGAUGCGAAAGCCAGGGUAGCGAACGGGAUUAGAUACCCGUGUAGUCC